rnacentral:rRNA from 1 species
AUGUUAAUAGACCAGCAACGUGCUAGGAGGCCAACGGAGCAUUACCUGGUGUUGACGGGAGCAUUACCUGGUGUUGACCGGCUGGCAAAUGACAUUUAUUCCUUAAUGUUUUGGCCCGGAAACAGAGGUAACCCUCCAAACAGUGCCCUGAUAGUCAUUUAUUCCUUAAUGUUUUGGCCUGGGAACAAGUUUAGUUGCAACUUUUUUGCUAUCAUGUUUCUCAAAUUUCGUUCACUAGGAUUCCUUUCUUAUUAUCAUCUUCCAAAUAUUUUUUUGUCACUACAUGAAUUCAGCUCUAUUUCUAUCGUGUCUCCUUUUCACAUGUUUGCAUCCAGCUGA